UACAGGGGGGGCAAGCGUUGUUCGGAAUUACUGGGCGUAAAGGGCCAGUAGGCGGCCUGCUAAGUCCGACGUGAAAUCCCCAAGCUUAACUUGGGAACUGCGUCGGAUACUGGUGGGCUUGAAUUCUGUUGAGGUGGGCGGAAUACAUCAUGUAGCGGUGAAAUGCUUAGAUAUGAUGUAGAACACCGAUUGCGAAGGCAGCUCACUAAGCAGACAUUGACGCUGAGGCACGAAAGCGUGGGGAUCAAACAGG
rnacentral:rRNA from 1 species